CAUAUCAAUAAGCGGAGGAAAAGAAACCAACAGGGAUUGCCCCAGUAACGGCGAGUGAAGCGGCAACAGCUCAAAUUUGAAAUCUGGCCCCCAGGGCCCGAGUUGUAAUUUGCAGAGGAUGCUUUUGGCGCGGCGCCUUCCGAGUUCCCUGGAACGGGACGCCAUAGAGGGUGAGAGCCCCGUCUGGUCGGACGCCAAGCCAGUGUAAAGCUCCUUCGACGAGUCGAGUAGUUUGGGAAUGCUGCUCUAAAUGGGAGGUAUAUGUCUUCUAAAGCUAAAUAUAGGCCAGAGACCGAUAGCGCACAAGUAGAGUGAUCGAAAGAUGAAAAGCACUUUGAAAAGAGGGUUAAACAGUACGUGAAAUUGUUGAAAGGGAAGCACUUGUGACCAGACUUGGGCCCGGUGAAUCAUCCAGCGUUCUCGCUGGUGCACUUCGCCGGGCUCAGGCCAGCAUCAGUUCGCCGCGGGGGACAAAAGCUUCGGGAACGUGGCUCCCUCGGGAGUGUUAUAGCCCGUUGCACAAUACCCUGCGGUGGACUGAGGUUCGCGCUCCGCAAGGAUGCUGGCGUAAUGGUCACCAGUGACCCGUCUUGAAACACGGACCAAGGAGUCGUCUUCGUAUGCGAGUGUUCGGGUGUCAAACCCCUACGCGUAAUGAAAGUGAACGCAGGUGAGAGCUUCGGCGCAUCAUCGACCGAUCCUGAUGUUCUCGGAUGGAUUUGAGUAAGAGCAUACGGGGCCGGACCCGAAAGAAGGUGAACUAUGCCUGUAUAGGGUGAAGCCAGAGGAAACUCUGGUGGAGGCUCGCAGCGGUUCUGACGUGCAAAUCGAUCGUCAAAUAUGGGCAUGGGGGCGAAAGACUAAUCGAACCUUCUAGUAGCUGGUUUCCGCCGA
rnacentral:rRNA from 1 species